CCUACGGGUGGCAGCAGUGGGGAAUAUUGCACAAUGGGGGAAACCCUGAUGCAGCGACGCCGCGUGAGUGAAGAAGUAAUUCGUUAUGUAAAGCUCUAUCAGCAGGGAAGAAAAUGACGGUACCUGAGUAAGAAGCCCCGGCUAACUACGUGCCAGCAGCCGCGGUACUACGUAGGGGGCAAGCGUUAUCCGGAUUUACUGGGUGUAAAGGGAGCGUAGACGGCAGUGCAAGUCUGGAGUGAAAGGCGGGGGCCCAACCCCCGGACUGCUCUGGAAACUGUACGGCUGGAGUGCAGGAGAGGUAAGUGGAAGUCCUAGUGUAGCGGUGAAAUGCGUAGAUAUUAGGAGGAACACCAGUGGCGAAGGCGGCUUACUGGACUGUAACUGACGUUGAGGCUCGAAAGCGUGGGGAGCAAACAGGAUUAGAACCCGUGUAGUC
rnacentral:rRNA from 1 species